GAACAAAUUUACCAAUCAAAUCAUAAAAAAUAGUAGUACUAUUGUAACGUUGUGACUUGUAGGGAGGGAAAUGGAGGGAGGUGACGUUGGGCAUUGGGUGUUGGAGUUCCUUCUCCGGGCUCGGUACCCAGUCGUUUCCAGUAACCUACUCAAGAAAGUCCUUCGAAUAGUCCCACUUUCAGACUUUGAUUCCAGGCUUCAGAAGACGCUUCUUCUCCGAACCCUUCAAGACCACUUGUUCGCUGUCUCUGUCCCCGAAUCCGUUCUCGAAACCCUCGAGCUCCUCGAGGAACUUCACCGCCGCGACGACGGCGCUCUGAUCACCGCCGCCGCCAUGAGCGCCGCCUACUGCGCCAUUGCGGUGGACUGCACUCUCAAGCACCUGCUGGUGGAACUCCACAACAACCCUGCCUACCUCGGCGCCGUGAACAGGAUAUGGCGUGGUAGGGUUCGGCACAUGAGCGGUUCCAGGGAGGGCAGCCUUCUUCUCUCGCUGGAGUUGGAGCGGUGGAGAACCGACAUCGAAACUUCCCUUCUGGACUCGUUGGUGAGGGAGAGGUUGGCCUCCAUUGAUACAAGAAGGGACGCCGUCGUCAAGCUCCGGGAUUAUUUGAUGGAAGCAUGGACCGAUUUGGGCCCUUCGUUUCUCGAGCUAGCGGCGUUGGCGCAAAUAAACAAAAAUGCCCUAGCCGUGAAUUACUUAGAGGAUUCCCAACAGCCGGAGAGAGAAAUUGAGAAGUGCACUGCUGCUCCUGCUGAGGAAGUGCAUACCUCAACAGAUGCCGAGGUCCAAAAGGUUGGGGAAUGUGGAUCUGUGGAGUUGCAAAAGUUGGCCGAGGAUUCUCUACUUAAUUCGUUGGAAGUGAAUGAGGAGGCACCUAUUGAAAGUAGAGAUGCAGAUGUACCUUGCCCACUUGUUAUUAAUAACAAUAACAAUGAGGCUGAUCUGAUGGAAAAAGAUCAAACUUCUAUCCCUCAUAAUCAUGACCAUAAGUCAAGUUUAAUGGAAAGAAAUAGUACCGCUCGCAUUUAUGAGUGGGACGAUUCAAUAGAUGGCUUGGAGGAUGGAACAUCAGAUCAUGCAACUAGAUUUAAUUUGCCUAGCCCCAAGUGGAGAGAAGUUUCUCCAUUGGAUAAGUACAAACCUGCAAGCAUUACAAAGAGGAGAAAAGUGAAAAAAUGGAGUCAGUUGGAAGAGGAGACCCUAAAGACCGCUGUAGACAAGUUUGGCAGGGGAAAUUGGAAGUUAAUUCUAGAUUCUCACAAGGAUAUAUUUGAAGAGAGAACUGAAGUUGAUUUAAAGGACAAGUGGAGAAACAUGAGGUAAUUUGGGUACAAAUGAAUCAGCAUGUGUGGAAUAUUGCAGAGAGGUUGAUAAUUUUGGUUCAUACUACACAGUACAAACCAAGUACCCUGAAAACUGCUCAAGCAUAAACUAUAGGGUGGUUGCUGCAGUUUGCAAGUCACUUUAGGUCAGCCUGUACGAGAUGACGAGCUGGCUAUGGCUAACUGGCUGUUUUUCUGGGUGCACGCUAGUUUUCAUGCCCCAUUGUUGAAGUCUGACUUGUGAGAUUUCAGCCAUAUUUAAGGUUGCAAGUGGCCAAGGCACAAUGGUAGGGUGUCACUAGAACUGGAGUCCCUUGGGGAGUUGAUGUUAGGCAUCAGUGCGCCUGCUGCAGCUUGUUUUCUUCUGACUUUGUUUCAAACUGUAUUUUAUUCUUGUUUUAUGUCUUGGAUUCUGCUUCUUUCACCUCUAUUCUGCUUAUGGGUGACAUUUCUCUAUUUCUUUCUAACUGUUGUUUCUUGUUUGUGGUUAGAUAUGCCUUGUUUUCCGUUUCCUUCAUCAGUUUGCCACAACUUAUCACUCUGGUGUCUUGGAUUGUUUAUAUUCCUAUUAUAUGUAAUAGAUUUCUUUGUCUUAUCUAAUCAAAUACUUAUGUACA